rnacentral:rRNA from 1 species
AUUGAACGCUGGCGGCAUGCCUUACACAUGCAAGUCGAACGGUAACAGGUCUUCGGAUGCUGACGAGUGGCGAACGGGUGAGUAAUACAUCAGAACGUGCCUAGUAGUGGGGGAUAACUACUCGAAAGAGUGGCUAAUACCGCAUGAGAUCUACGGAUGAAAGCAGGGGAUCGCAAGACCUUGUGCUACUAGAGCGGCCGAUGGCAGAUUAGGUAGUUGGUGGGAUAAAAGCUUACCAAGCCGACGAUCUGUAGCUGGUCUGAGAGGACGAUCAGCCAAACUGGGACUGAGACACGGCCCAGACUCCUAGGGGAGGCAGCAGUGGGGAAUUUUGGACAGUGGGCGAAAGCCUGAUCCAGCAAUGCCGCGUGCAGGAUGAAGGCCUUCGGGUUGUAAACUGCUUUUGUACGGAACGAAAAGCCCCGGGUUAAUACCCUGGGGUCAUGACGGUACCGUAAGAAUAAGCACCGGCUAACUACGUGCCAGCCGCCGCUGUAA